rnacentral:rRNA from 1 species
UACGUAGGUGGCAAGCGUUGUCCGGAUUUACUGGGCGUAAAGAGCGCGCAGGCGGUCGGUCAAGUCGCGUGUGAAAGCCCCCGGCUCAACUGGGGAGGGUCACGCGAUACUGUUCGACUCGAAGGCAGGAGAGGGUAGUGGAAUUCCCGGUGUAGUGGUGAAAUGCGUAGAUAUCGGGAGGAACACCAGUGGCGAAGGCGACUACCUGGCCUGUUCUUGACGCUGAGGCGCGAAAGCGUGGGGAGCAAACAGG